UGGGGAAUAUUGCACAAUGGAGGGAACUCUGAUGCAGCGACGCCGCGUGAACGAAGAAGGCUUUCGAGUCGUAAAGUUCUUUUAUAUGGGAAGAUAAUGACGGUACCAUAAGAAAAAGCCCCGGCUAACUACGUGCCAGCAGCCGCGGUAAUACGUAGGGGGCUAGCGUUGUCCGGAAUCACUGGGCGUAAAGGGUUCGCAGGCGGAAAUGCAAGUCAGGUGUAAAAGGCAGUAGCUUAACUACUGUAAGCAUUUGAAACUGCAUAUCUUGAGAAGAGUAGAGGUAAGUGGAAUUUUUAGUGUAGCGGUGAAAUGCGUAGAUAUUAGGAGGAAUACCGGUGGCGAAGGCGACUUGCUGGACUUCAACUGACGCUGAGGAACGAAAGCGUGGGUAGCAAACAGG
rnacentral:rRNA from 1 species